UACAGAGGGUGCGAGCGUUGUUCGGAAUUACUGGGCGUAAAGCGCGCGCAGGCGGCUUUUUAAGUCCGACGGUGAAGUGCCGGGGCUCAACCCCGUGCCCGCCGCGGAUACUGGGAAGCUGGAGACGAGUAGAGGCAAGCGGAAUUCCGGGUGUAGCGGUGGAAUGCGUAGAGAUCCGGAAGAACACCGGAGGCGAAGGCGGCUUGCUGGGCUCGGUCUGACGCUGAGGCGCGAAAGCGUGGGGAGCGAACAGG
rnacentral:rRNA from 1 species